UAAGCAAAUCCAAAACGACAUUGAAAGAGAGGAAACGCUGGCAGUGGUAGGCGCACCCAAAGCAGGUUCGUCUAUAUUUCCGAAACUACUCCAUAUAAAUACAAAUGCAGCCAUCGACCGAAGCCAACAAAUUCAAAGCCAAUUCAAAAUCGGUCACAAAUUACAAAUAAUACACGACUCUCUCUCUACAAUCUCAAGCUUGAGAACUGAAAGUAACAGAAUAAUGGGAAUUCCAUCGGAAAUGAGGGACUUGUGGGUGAAGAAAAGAAAGGGCUUCGUGAUUGCUUCUCCUCUUGAAGAUCAGAAGAUCCUGAACGCCAGAAAUUGCACUCGAGAAGGUGUUCGUGCCGGAUUCAAGUCAGCUUCGAUUGCAUGCGUUGCCAGCGCUAUACCAACAGUAUGUGAUAGUCAUUAUUUUACUCUCAUUUGGGACUAAUUAAAAAUAUUGUGCUGGACUUUUUCUUCGUUGUUAAUUUAUUAUCUUUCCUGUUUUUGGAGGUCAUAUUUGUUGAAAACGAGGUUAUAGGCACACCUGUAUCAUUUGGGACAAAUGAAUCAAAGAUUUUAGUAUGUAGUAGAUGAUCAUCAACAGAGGUUUUAUUUGGCAAGGGCUUAACGGUUUUCAUUUUCUUUCUUAUACAUGAGCUGGUCAAAAUUUGUAAUACAAUAUCCUGCCAGCAUGUCUUCUUCAAAGGCAAACCCACCUUGUCAGUUGGGUAUUUACUUCAUUUGUGGUAACCUGAAGAACCAAUUUGGCUUGAAUUGAGAUAUUAACAGGCUUCAGGAUAUUAAGCAUGCUGUCUUAGUUGAGUUAGUUGGAGAUCUUAUUGACUGACACUAACUGCCUGCUGCAAAAACUAAAAGGGACUUGAUGGGGUAUGUGAGUGUCUUAGUUGCUAAGCAAUGAGACUUCAUAAGGUUCAACCAUUAGAAAAUAUAAAGAAAGAAAGAGG